CAUGUUUUUAAUGAACAUUUUUUGUUCUGUUUGUUUUUGGUCUGAAUUCAGCAGCUGUUCAUUUGUGUCGGAUCGUUUCAAUUCUGAUCCGUCCACUAAAACCAUCCCAUAAUUUUAAAACAUGGAGUGUGAAGUAUGUAGAAAAUACUCACCUGGACACUGGAGGGUUAGUGAUAGGAGGGUUUGGUACCAGAUCUACCUCCAAACACUGU